UACGAAGGGUGCAAGCGUUAAUCGGAAUUACUGGGCGUAAAGGGUGCGUAGGCGGUUCGUUAAGUCUGUUGUGAAAUCCCCGGGCUCAACCUGGGAAUGGCAAUGGAUACUGGCGGGCUAGAGUGUGUCAGAGGAUGGUGGAAUUCCCGGUGUAGCAGUGAAAUGCGUAGAGAUCGGGAGGAACAUCAGUGGCGAAGGCGGCUACCUGGCCCAAUACUGACACUCAGGUGCGACAGCGUGGGGAGCAAACAGG
rnacentral:rRNA from 1 species